CACUGCUUGAACAGCCAAAGCCUGUGGCACGCCUCCAGUUUUCUCAUACGCUUCUGGGAACGCCAACAUACCUGCACCUAGGGCAGCAUUUGUGACCACAAACACUGCCCUAGGUAUGGGUAGUCCAGGUUCGUCGUUCACCUCAAUCACCUGGACAUCAUUCAUUGUGCUAUUAGUUGAUGAACUAUGAUCAUUCAAGGAAGUGCAGCUAUUUUGGAUUUUAUGAUUAUUCCCUCCAAAGUGAAGCAACGGUGACUUUUCAUUCGGACUAGACAUUUACUAGUCCAGUUUUUUAAUUCAAAAUACGUUUUAUGGCGAUAUUAAAGUUAAAAUCUUCGAUGUUUCACAACAAAUAUUUGACCUUGCUUGACAC